rnacentral:antisense_RNA from 3 species
GAUACAUAGGAACCUCCUCACAAAGGAUUCUAUGGACAGUCGAUGCGGGGAGGAGAGAACUCCCUGCAUCGGCGAUUUU